rnacentral:rRNA from 1 species
GACGAACGCUGGCGGCGUGCCUAAUACAUGCAAGUUGAGCGCUGAAGGUUGGUACUUGUACCGACUGGAUGAGCAGCGAACGGGUGAGUAACGCGUGGGGAAUCUGCCUUUGAGCGGGGGACAACAUUUGGAAACGAAUGCUAAUACCGCAUAAAAACUUUAAACACAAGUUUUAAGUUUGAAAGAUGCAAUUGCAUCACUCAAAGAUGAUCCCGCGUUGUAUUAGCUAGUUGGUGAGGUAAAGGCCCACCAAGGCGAUGAUACAUAGCCGACCUGAGAGGGUGAUCGGCCACAUUGGGACUGAGACACGGCCCAAACUCCUACGGGAGGCAGCAGUAGGGAAUCUUCGGCAAUGGACGAAAGUCUGACCGAGCAACGCCGCGUGAGUGAAGAAGGUUGUCGGAUCGUAAAACUCUGUUGGUAGAGAAGAACGUUGGUGAGAGUGGAAAGCUCAUCAAGUGACGGUAACUACCCAGAAAGGGACGGCUAACUACGUG